GCCGUCGCUUAAGGUAUUGUUUAGAUUCAAAAAGUUUUUAGAUUUUAAUAUUGUAAUUUUUUUGUUUUUAUUUAAUAAAUAUUGUCUAGUUAAUGAGUAACUAGACUUAAAAGAUUUGUCUCGUGAUUUACAGACAAACCGCCGUGCAAUUAGUUUUUGUUUUUAUCUAUAUUUAAUAUUCUAUGUAUGUGCCGCAAGAUUCGAUAUGACGAAGAAUCUUGAAAAGUUUUUGGUUUUUGGAGUGAACUAAAUAAGGCCUAAUUUGCUGCACUUAACAAAGGUUCCGUUCAGUACCAAAUUAAAUACCAAUGUACCGCCGUUGGACAGAGACGCCAACGACCGGCCCUGCAGGCUGUACAUGGAGUGCCCAGCGAAUUACAGACGAACAAAUACAGGUUUUUCACAUUCGUGAAAGAGAAAUCUGAGUGGUGAAUGUCAUGAGUUUGAUACUAGCACGUAGACCUAAUUGUAAAAUGUAUGUCCUCCGGCCCUUUAAUCCCUUUUUGCAUUGUGUGCCUGAGACACUGAAUAGUGCUUACUAAAAGCCCGAGCACUUGGUUUAUUAAUUUCACUAUAUUUCCUUUCCUGGGUCUUGUAGCUUAGUUCUGAAAUAUAUAGGAGUAUAUAUUAUUACACAUGUUCCAGAUAAUGCCCUGCCAGUGCUUAUUAGUUUUGUCACCUAGCAGUAC
rnacentral:lncRNA from 1 species